GACUCCGUGGGGCAAUGAUAGCGCGUCUGACUCCAGAUCAGAAGGUUGCGUGUUCAAAUCACGUCGGGGUCA
rnacentral:tRNA from 1 species